UUAUUUUAGAUUUUACAUAUGUUUGGCUUGUCCACAAGGUCGAUUUGCAAAUCCAGGAGCUUCCUCAUUGGAUGCAUGUAAAAUACCCGUAAUAGUAAAGAUAUUUACGCCUCCACUUGUUUAUGCCACGGUGGGAA